rnacentral:snRNA from 1 species
AGCUUUGCACAGUGGCAGUAUCGUAACCAAUGAGGUUUAUCCAAGGUGUGAUUAUUGCUAAUUGAAAACUUUUCCCAUAUGGAAUUUGAAGGGAUCUAGAAGAGCCAAAGAAAUCCUGAAAAAGAAGAAC